GUUUGGGACCAGGCUACCUGAAGGAUUGCAUUUUAUCAAGUUUAGUGACUCAGAUUGCAAGAUCUUCUUCUGAGGCCCUUCUCUGAGUGUCCCUACAAGGUGAGGUGGGUGGCUGUUUGGAAAAGGGCCUUUUAAAUGGUGGCACCCUGCAUGUGAAAUGUUCUCCCCAUAGAGGCUCAUCUGAUUGCUAAUUUGUCAUCAUUUCAGUACCGAGUUUUUUCUCCCUCCCAUCCCUUUAAAAUUUGCUAGUCUCAAAAUUUCUUUAGUUUACUUUUCUUUUUCUGCUUUUCAAGUUUUCUGCUGUUUGUUGUUUUGCUCUGACUGUUUUUGUUUUUGUAAAUUCUAUAUAGUAACUUGCCCAGAGAACGUUUUAUUAUAGGGUGGCCUAUAAAUGAAGGAAGGAACUGACAUUGUAGUCCAUUUUUUCACAGGUAAAGGUAAAGGGACCCUGACCAUUAGGUCCAGUCAUGGAUGACUCUGGGGUUGCGGCGCUCAUCUCACUUUACUGGCCGAGGGAGCCAGUGUUUGUCCACAGACAGCUUCCGGGUCAUGUGGCCAGCAUAACUAAGCUGCUUCUGGUGAACCAGAGCAGCGCACGGAAACGCUGUUUACCUUCCCGCCAGAGCGGUACCUAUUUCUCUACUUGCACUUGACAUGCUUUCGAACUGCUAGGUUGGCAGGAGCAGGGACCAAGCAAUGGGAGCUCACCCCGUAGCGGGGAUUCGACCUUCUGAUUGGCAAGCCCUAGGCUCUGUGUCUUAAGAAAAUAUGCCAAAAAAAGAGAAACAAAACAAAUCUGGUCCAAAACCCAUCAGUGAGAUUUCAAUAAGGCCUAUACUCACACAGCAAAUAUUUUUAGCUUCUCUCCCCAGCUUUACAAAGGCAUUUGGCAUGAACAAUUUUACUCUCUACCCUUUUGCAAAUGAGUACUAGUAGCAUGUGCAUGUUCAUUUUUUUAUUGUGCCAAUGACAGAUCAGGCAAUAAGUUAUGGAGAAUUGGGAGCAGAAGAUUUGCUGUAUCUUUCUCAUUAUCCGUUAACCACUCAGACUGCAAUGCAUAAUAUCAACAGGGGUUUCUUUUGUAGAUAUAAAAACUUGUUGGUUGAACCACCAAGAUAUUACUACCAAAUUGGCAGGUUUUCUUAGGAACAAGUAAACAGAAGGAUGUCACUCAAUGUUCUGGAAAUAUCUUGCUGGAUAUGAAUGAUAUCUAAAGAAAAUCUAGUUCUUCUAUCAGUCAAAUCAACAGGACAUUUCUCAGAGCAACAGGACUAAAUUGUUUUUUAAAUCUUAUUAUAAAGUAUGUUGCUAAUUCUUUUAUCUAAAAUUUACCCAGAACAACUACGUUUCUUGACCACAUUCCUUGAAAGUUAAUUGGAUUUAUAAAUGCAAUAAAAUCACAAAGGAAACAAUUUUAUGAGCAGAUGGAAAUUCCUUGGAAAUCUGGUGUGCAUAUUUCCAGUGACCAAUUUGUAAAGCAUUCAUUCCUUCUAAUUCCACAGAUUUGGUUUAAGUUAAGAAUUAAUUUGUGCACACUCAAGUUGAAAUGUUUUGAUUUAAUCCCUCACCCAUCCUAGUUAGAGGCUAUUGAAAAACCUGUUGUCAUAUAAAAACAGGUUGAAGGGUGGAAUGGUAGAAUAAAAGAUUCCAUGCCCACAACAAAUCAUAACAUCAAGGCCAUGGAGGCUUAACAUUUGGCUAUGGGCUUUGGUUUUACAAGCUGCACAAUAGAGGAUCUCACAGGCCAAGUUAUUCAAAGAUUAAUCAAAAUACUUAUUCUUGGCAGGCUAAGGAAGCCUUAUUUUUCAGAUUUAAUUAGGAUAUGGACUGAAAGGUCAGGAGCACCAGAUUUGGCUUUCAAAAAACCAAGUUGGCUUUUAAGAACUGAUGCACAAUGUCACAGUGAGCCUUGGGCUCCCUUGCUCUGUCCCCUCUUCUCUUUUAUGCCCAAAGGUUUUCACUACCCUGAGUUCCUCUUCUUGACAUACAAUCUCAGGGAACAGUGGUUUAAACUAUGCUAUGAAAACAGGCCAGAAUAUGAAAUCAUGGUUUCGUCUUGGCUCAUUCUCACUAAACACAGGCUCCAACUGCACUAUACAUUUAAAGCAUUAUCAUGUGAUUUUCAACAGCCAUGGCUUCCAUCAGAUAAUCUUGGGGACUGCAGUUUGUGAAGAGUCCUGAGAAUUAUUAGGAAACCUCUAUCCCUCACAUUAGGGAUGUGGGUGGCGCUGUGGGUUAAACCACAGAGCCUAGGACUUGCCGAUCAGAAGGUUGGCCGUUCGAAUCCCCACAACGGGGUGAGCUCCCGUUGCUCAGUCCCUGCUCCUGCCAACCUAGCAGUUCGAAAGCACGUCAAAGUGCAAGUAGAUAAAUAGGUCCCACUCCAGCGGGAAGGUAAACGGCGUUUCCGUACACUGCUCUGGUUCGCCAGAAGCAGCUUAGUCAUGCUGGCCACAUGACCUGGAAGCUGUACGCAGGCUCCCUCAGCCAAUAAAGCGAGAUGAGCGCCGCAACCCCAGAGUCGGCCACGACUGGACCUAAUGGUCAGGGGUUCCUUUACCUGUUUACUUAUCCCUCACAUUGAGCUACAGUUCUCAACCCCUGUUCCCAAGGAACUCUGAGAACAGGAUGUGUGUGUCUCCUAACAACUCUCAGCACACUUAGCAAACUACAUUUCCCAGGGGAAGCCAUGACUGUUAAAAAUUACAUGAUAAUGCUUUAAAUAUAUAGGACAGAUGGGACCAUGGUUUAAACAAAUCACAGUUCCUAAAAUUCAUAUAAUGAGGGGGAACUGCGGUUAGUUUACAAAUUAAAAGUUGAAGCUUUCAAUCUCCUUGCAAUUAAAAAAGAAGUGAAAAGCUGGAGAGAGAGCAUAGAAGCCUGUGCCCGUGGAUUCUCAUUUUGAAUGAGUCCUUCAAAUGUUAUAUAACUCCUCGAGUGCUUUGAUUCAAGGCAACCACAAACAUUUUUUAUCACUUUUCUCCUCUUUUGCAGGGGGGAAGAGGAGCAAAGUAAAGAAGUUCCACUCUAUACAAAUUCCAGUGAGCAAAUCCAAUAUAGCAGCUGCUACCCAUUUAAUCUGAAAGUACCUAUCAAAAAGAGCAAUUCACUAUGCACCUGUGACCAGUGAUGACUUUCUAUUGUUGCUGAAUUCUCAGAAUCUACUCUGCUCUUCAGAAGCGUAUCAGUAUUGUGUGCCCAACUUAGCUUGGAAUGCUGACAAGGUUGCAUUUCUUCUCCCUUGAAUUCCACAAUUAAUGUUUACUCCAUGAACUGAAUUAUUGAGGCAAUAUCCUUACUUGUGACCUUGGAAUCUAUACAACCAUCAGCAAAAACUAUUGGGGGGGCUAUUGUCCCCCCCAAAAAAUCAAGCCAGAAUUGGCAUCUAUGGUAAAUAUGGAUAUAAGACAAAACAGAACUGGUGAUUGAGUCAUAUUUAACAUUGGUUCAAGGCACUGUGACAAAAAUAAGCUUCUGUUUUGCUAGUGAUAGUCCUCAUGUCAAUUGUCUACAAGAGCCUCCCUUUUUGUAGAGCAUUUAUAUACAGUUAGAUAACAGCAAUUCCCCCACCUCUGGGUCAAAACUGUGACUGUGUGAUGGUGAAUUCAGAAUAAGUCAAUUACACUUGCUUCCAGACAUUAAAAUUGGUAGAAUUAUAUAACACAUGGAUAGGCAUGGUUUGCAUUUAAAUGUGAACCUGUCUAAUUCAUACUGUCUAAACAUUAGGAAGAACUUCCUGACAGUAAGAGCUGUUCGACAGUGGAAUUUGCUGCCAAGGAGUGUGGUGGAGUCUCCUUCUUUGGAGGUCUUUAAGCAGAGGCUUGACAACCAUAUGUCAGGAGUGCUCUGAUGGUGUUUUCUGCUUGGCAGGGGGUUGGACUUGAUGGCCCUUGUGGUCUCUUCCAACUCUAUGAUUCUAUGAUUCUAUGAUUCUAUACUUCCGGAAACAAUACAGAAACUGAACCACAGUUAUCCUUUGAAAUUUACAUGUCUCUGAAUUUUGUGAUACAGUUCUCCAUCCAGAAAACAAGUACAAAAUAUGUACACUGGGAAAGUACAAACAAAAAUGCAUGCAUUAGUGAAAGAACAUGUAAAACUGCAUUGUUUGCAAAACUGCAAAGUGGUGUGCAUAUUAAAAAAGUGUGUGUAUUGUAUAUGAAAAUGGGUAUGAAUUUUCAUGCAGGCUAAUGAAAAAAAUUCAGAGACUGAUGUGGAAAUGGACUUAACUUAAGAUUGGAAAAAUGAGAAACUGAGAGAAAAUGACCGUUGAAAGAUAGAAGAAAACUUUACUUUUUUGACC